rnacentral:rRNA from 1 species
CAAUAGCGUAUAUUAAAGUUGUUGCAGUUAAAAAGCUCGUAGUUGGAUUUCUGAUCGAGACAUCAGGUCGGGUCCGAGAGGAUCAUGUACUUUGAUUUUGUUUUGAUCAUCCUUGGGGAGAGCAUUUCUGGCAUUCAGUUGUCGGGGUUGGGAUCCUCAUCGUUUACUGUGAAAAAAUUAGAGUGUUCAAAGCAGGCCUCGGCCUCUGAAUACAUUAGCAUGGAAUAAUAAGAUAGGACUUUGGUGGUCUAUUUUGUUGGUUUGCACGCCAAAGUAAUGAUUAAUAGGGAUAGUUGGGGGUAUUCGUAUUCAAUUGUCAGAGGUGAAAUUCUUGGAUUUAUGGAAGACGAACUACUGCGAAAGCAUUUACCAAGGAUGUUUUCAUUAA